CCUACGGGAGGCAGCAGUAGGGAAUCUUCCGCAAUGGACGAAAGUCUGACGGAGCAACGCCGCGUGAGUGAUGAAGGUUUUCGGAUCGUAAAGCUCUGUUGUUAGGGAAGAACAAGUGCAAGAGUAACUGCUUGCACCUUGACGGUACCUAACCAGAAAGCCACGGCUAACUACGUGCCAGCAGCCGCGGUAAUACGUAGGUGGCAAGCGUUGUCCGGAAUUAUUGGGCGUAAAGGGCUCGCAGGCGGUUUCUUAAGUCUGAUGUGAAAGCCCCCGGCUCAACCGGGGAGGGUCAUUUGGAAACUGGGAAACUUGAGUGCAGAAGAGGAGAGUGGAAUUCCACGUGUAGCGGUGAAAUGCGUAGAGAUGUGGAGGAACACCAGUGGCGAAGGCGACUCUCUGGUCUGUAACUGACGCUGAGGAGCGAAAGCGUGGGGAGCGAACAGGAUUAGAUACCCUGGUAGUC
rnacentral:rRNA from 1 species